rnacentral:rRNA from 1 species
UACGGGGGGGGCAAGCGUUGUUCGGAAUUACUGGGCGUAAAGGGCUCGUAGGCGGCCAACUAAGUCAGACGUGAAAUCCCUCGGCUUAACCGGGGAACUGCGUCUGAUACUGGAUGGCUUGAAUCCGGGAGAGGGAUGCGGAAUUCCAGGUGUAGCGGUGAAAUGCGUAGAUAUCUGGAGGAACACCGGUGGCGAAAGCGGCGCGCUGGGUUGACAUUGACGCUGAGGCGCGAAAGCGUGGGGAGCAAACAGG